rnacentral:rRNA from 1 species
UAAUACGAAGGUGGCAAGCGUUAUUCGGAUUUACUGGGCGUACAGGGAGCGUAGGCGGUUCGGUAAGCCCUCUGUGAAAUCUUCAGGCUUAACCUGGAAAAGUCGGAGGGGACUGCUGGGCUAGAGGACGGGAGAGGAGCGCGGAAUUCCCGGUGUAGCGGUGAAAUGCGUAGAGAUCGGGAGGAAGGCCGGUGGCGAAGGCGGCGCUCUGGAACGUUUCUGACGCUGAGGCUCGAAAGCGUAGGGAGCAAACAGGAUUAGAUACCCUGGUAGUCCACGCCUUAAACUAUGAAUACUAAGUGUCGGCGGGUUACCGCCGGUGCCGCAGCUAACGCAUUAAGUAUUCCGCCUGGGAAGUACGGCCGCAAGGUU